GCGGGUGUGGCGCAGUGGUAGCGCAACUGCUUCCCAAGCAGUGAGUCGUGGGUUGAAUCCCAUCACCCGCU
rnacentral:tRNA from 1 species